rnacentral:sRNA from 1 species
AUGGAACAAUGUCUAUAGCUAAAGAAAGCUAGAAACCAAAAACAAUGUACACAAAUCAGUUUCAAACUUGUGCCUGUAAUGCAGCCAAGAGAAUAAGGGAAAGCCUUUCAGAAACAAAAAGCAAGGCCAAUGACACUACCUCCAGCUGAAACAACCUGCCCAGUGAGCAGCCGAAAAUUCCAGGCUCACAUGGAUCUCACGAGCCACAUAAGGAUGCACAAAGCCCCAGUAAAGAGAGUGGCAUAAUCUCCAUAUGGAAUCACGAUAGACGUACUAUAUAUAUAAAAGAAAUGAUGUUUUUAUUAUGGUAUAUUCAUCAUCAUGUAACAAAAAAUAUAAUUAAAAUACACAUGAAGCUUAUGUACAGGAAUUUCAUGGAAGUUCUUCCUUA